rnacentral:rRNA from 1 species
CUUACGGGACGCAGCAGUGGGGAAUAUUGCACAAUGGGGAAACCCUGAUGCAGCGACGCCGCGUGAGUGAAGAAGUAUUUCGGUACGUAAAGCUCUAUCAGCAGGGAAGAAAAAUGACGGUACCUGACUAAGAAGCCCCGGCUAACUACGUGCCAGCAGCCGCGGUAAUACGUAGGGGGCAAGCGUUAUCCGGAUUUACUGGGUGUAAAGGGAGCGUAGACGGCUGUGCAAGUCUGAAGUGAAAUGCCGGGGCCCAACCCCGGAACUGCUUUGGAACCUGUACAGUUAGAGUGCAGGAGGGGUGA